GGGAUUACGCUCAAGCCCAAACUUUUAUAACUCAGCGUUAUACUUAUAAGAGCCCUCUUUCAGCAACUACUCGCGGGAUUAUUAUCGAUUUUUAUCUCCUUCAAAACAAACUGGACGAAGCCUUAAGUACACUUAAAAGUUAUAGUCACGAUAAUGCUGUGCGUCAGCUUCAUAUAGGAACGUUUGCUCGCGUAAUGCGUGAAUUAGUUAAAAAUAAUAGACCUUUUGAAGCUCUUGAGCUUUAUAAAAUGCUGAAAGAGGAUGAUAUAUCAACCCCUAAAAAAGCAAUUUCUUUUGUGAAUUCA